UCUCCGCUUAUUCACCCGCGGGAUGACCCGUCUCUCCCGGGAGGCUGUCUGUCUGUCUGUGCCGUCCUGCCAGACGGCGCUGCGCCCUCAUCUCCGCGGCAGGCGGGUUGGUCAGCGCGGGUGAUGCAGACUCGAGGUGCUGUCUCCCACAGAUGCCUCCCACAGGAUGCCUGUCUCCCACAGAUGGAGGGAAAAGCCCAGGAACUGAAACUUCUGCCCUCACUAUGGAGAAAGACUGUCUCACUGGGUGAGCCUUGAAAGAAGAUGGCCCCACCAAUUGAAGAUUGAACUGCUGAUAAGUCCAAUGUUGAAACUUGCUUUUCUUGUUUGUGAGAGUAAGCAUUUUAUUAAUCACUUCUGUGGCAUUUACAUACCACUGCAAUUUUCAUCCUACUUUUGUUUCUGUGCCUACUCACUUAAGCACUUAUUUUUAAUGUUGAAUUAUAUUCCCUAUCCUAUAAUAGAUACCUACAUGUAUAUAGUUUGCUUUCAUCACUAUAUUACCUUAGGAUUUCCACACAAGGGACCAAUGUAAUUCAGAAAAUACUAGUGGAAAGCACAUUAAAAGUUAUGUCCCUAAUCAACCAGUUGUCAAAUGAUUCAACCCAAACCUGCAACACACUCAUUCAUAGCUAGUCAUGGAGAUAUCUGUUGCCUCUUUCCAGACAAUGAAUUUCCAGUGACAAUGCUAGACAUGCAAAACAAGAGGCUUCAUGGAUGUUACUACUUCAAACCUUUCUUCCAAAUUCCAUGUCAUCCUUUGGAAGUGGCAUGGUGGCUGUUGGAGGCAGCCCUAGUACUUUAGAAAAUCUGCUUGCUGACAUCAGAAGGAAGCUCUUAUGCUCCUUUCAGGCUCUAAGGUGUGUGCAGUUUUGCCAUGUAGCAUGGUUCUUGUUCCAAGACAUAGAAGGGAGGACAAGAGUGAGCUGUCACUUCAGUAAGUGUAUUUUAGAAGACUGGUCACCUUACCUGUAUUUAAACACAACUAGCAGAUGAAGAUGUGUGCACCUAUGUCAGCUAGGUCACUGCAAUUAGUAACGCUUUGUAAUCUGGUCUGGUAGACAAAAUUUUUAGAAGCCAUUGUGGUUGUAAAAUUAAAGAAAAUUGGUGGCUUAGGGCUAUGCAGACAUUUAUACAUAUAUACAUAUAUGUUCAGGCUAUAGCCCUGAGAGGUCGUGGUGGAAAGUACUUCCCAAGACUUCUGGUAACAGGACCAAACCAAAAGUUCAUACAAUUAAUGUGAAAAUGUGUAUAAGUCCAUUCAGCUUUUGAAUGCUUCCUCCUUUCAUUUUAUUUAUUAUUUUAUUUUAUUUUAUUUUAUUUAUUUAUUCAUUUUAGUUAUUAUUUUUUGUAGUACAACAAAUUCUGUUCUAUUCUGCAUAGGCAUAUGUCUAUGCACUUCACUAACUUCUGUGAGCCUUACAAUAACGAUCCAUAAGGAGAACUGGUUUAGACACAUUUCUGUCCAUUUUCUCUGUGUUGCUAAAAAUAUAUUCUCAUCCUCCUGAUAUGCUGCUUUUUCUUUUCAGUCUUUAAUUUAUUCUGUUAAGGACACUUAGAGCUCUCUUUUAAAAAUAUCUUCGUUCAAAGUGUAAGUUACCAAUUUGCUGUGCUCUGUAACUGGAGGAGUUUGCAUUUCUACAAAAACCUCCGGCAUUCAUAGUUUUAAGAUGGAGCUUACUUGGAAAAAUGACACUGUCGGAAACAUUCUACAGUAUAAGCAUUAGAGAAACAAGUUCUGUAAACUUUAGCUUUAGGAAUAAAAUCUUCCAAUGUUUCCAGGGAAGUGCUGUGAUAUUUAUGGGGAUCUGUAUUUCCUUUUUUAUGUUCCCAGCUACACCUGUAAUGAUGACAGAAUCCUGACAUUCACAAUCUCAUUCAUAGUUCUUUCUUGUGCAGCUAAGUCUGGAUCACCUGUUGUUGGGUUAGGUGCAAAAUGUAGUAUGUGCUAAAACAGUUGUGGUUUUUUUGGUGUUUGUUUUCUGACAGCUCUGACAACACAUAAUGUUGCAUAGCCUAGGAAUGCAUAAUUAAUUGUGAAAAAACUUGCCCAUGGAGAAAUAGGAAAAUGAAAUAACAAUAAUCUUAAAAAAUAAUUGUGUCACCAUCUUCUUCAGUAUUAGCACAAACUCAUUGAGCUUUGGCACAAACUCAUUUUUUCCAAGAAGAGGUACCAUAUAUAUAGUCAUAUAUACCCAUAUAUGCACACAAGAAUCCAAUCCAAGUAAUCAAACCAAUGUAAUGUGAGCCUAUAUCCAUUAAAAUAAAACACUAUUAUAUGUCAGUAAGUUAGUUUUGUUGUUGUUGGUGGUUUUGUUUUUUUUUUUCCCCCCCCCUGAAAUUUUCUCUGCAUUGUAUGUUGCUAUUACGGGGAAACAUUCCUCCAGAAGCAAUUAAAGUAAAGGCUGGACUACAACAGAAGUAUUUUAAAAUACUUAAAAUUAAGCAAGUGCUGAAUGUUUAGGUGAAUUGGAGCUGUGAUUUUCUGUGCCUCAUAAGGUAGAGAUGCUAGAAAAGAAGGCAAAUACAAAGAGCCUAGCUGGGAAGUAUGGAUGAACUAAGGGUUUUCCUCAAGCUUAUCAUUUUUUCAGAGCAUAUGGGUUUGUGCACUAGCACUAAUCAACAUGUGACCUCUCAAGUAGAUCCUCAUUAGCUUUCAUUGCUGUGCCAUGAAUACAUUCAUAGGUGUUCCUUGACUUGAUGUUUUAUAAUGUCUGGGGGACGGAAAACUGCUGUAUCCCUCUUCAGCCAGCCUCUCUCCUUUGCCAGGUUUAGUAGACUUGUGUUGGGUUGUGUUCCUUGCUCCACAGACUAUGUCUCCCAAGUCAUGACUGUCCUACAGGCAUAGGUAUUGCUGCGAAGGAAGGGAAAUAAGAAAAGGACACCCAAACAUGAGAAUAAGUGAUUAGGGCUGAGAGGGCAUGCUCCAUCCUGUCUUUCACUGCUCUCCCAUGAAACAAGGACAACUGAUUUCCUAAAAUGAUUAAGCUAGGAAUGGAUUGCAAAGAGAUACAGUGGUCAAGUUAGAGAGGAGGAGCCUCCUCCUGCACCACCUUGCAUACCACCUUGGUCCUUGCUGACACAGGUCUAAUUCACAGGGAUCUUGGCAUCACGUCUUUUCACUCAGGUCUUUCUGGAGCUCCUGAAAACCUGUUAUCUUAAAAGACCAUACCAUCUCAUGGCUUAACAUAAUGAAAUUUUAGUCUGCUUUUGAUGAGGUAUUUUGGAAGUUGGCCAACUAUUAAAGUUCGGUGGGGAAUCUUUCAAAAUUACAGAUUAAACUAAUAAAUCAGUACGGAAAACAAAAACAAAAACAAAACAAAAAAAAAAAACAGCCAUCUCUGUCUUCAAUUGCUAUAUUGUAAUUACAGCUCCUAAGAAAAUUUCUGUUACAUGGCAUAGUUAGAUCACCAGGUAAUUUCUUAGGUUUCUGUGAUUACUUAGCUCAGGACAGAGCAGCUUUUGAAACAUCAGUUCACUCUGAGAUUAAUCUGCUUCUUGCUAUACACACCUCACAGAUAAUGGAAAAUGCUGGUAACUUGAAUAGCAGGUAUAAAUUAUGACGUAUUUAUUUUGGCUGAUAUUUAUGCAUGACAGAUCCUGAAGUGACCUUUUGCUAUUAGGUAAUAUAUAUAUAUAUACAAAGUGUAAUUAUAUAUAUAUAUAAAAUAUACAAUUAGGUAUAUAUGUACUUAGGUACAAUGUCUGUACCUAAGUGUGUGUGUGUAUAUAUAUAUAUAUAUUUAUUUUUUUUCAAGACUCUGUCUUUCCUUAUACAUUCAUGUUCUCUUAUACUCUAAAGAAAAUCAGCAAUUGGGGGGGUUUAUUACUUCCUUGGCACCGUUUUACCUUCCAUCGGAGAAGGCCUGAAUUUAAUUUCCAGUUAAGGUCCAUGACAGUUUUAGAGAGGCAGAAUCCAAAAAAGUCACACUUUGUCCUUGAGGUCAAGCUUGAGGUCAGCUAUUUAUUUUCUGACUAUUCUUGAGUAAGCCCCUGAAAUUUAUGUGCCUCAGCUCUCCGCACAGGACUCAUAUUUCUGUUGUUGAAUUUGUCUAUUUAGAUUGGGCACCUUACCAAUGUCUAGGGUUUGACCAGGUUCAAGUUGAGAGAUUGCAAAGCUUCAAUCCCAGGACAAGGGAAAAGAGAGUGCACACAGCUUCUCUAAGCACUGUGUGCCGAGUCCCCAAGCACAGUAGCCACAGCAUGGGCUUCGUUAGCUCAUCACUCAAGGAGGCAUUAAAUCAAACACCGUGAGUCCCUUAGCUGGCUAUGAGCUUGUAUUUUCUGCUUUAGUGCAAAUUUAAAACAGACUAACGACAGGACCAUGAACUAGGCCUUUUUUCCUAAAGCUCAGUUCAAUAGUUUAGAAAAACUGCAUCUAAAACAUUGCCACAGGAAAAGAAGCAUCAUACUUCCCUUCACCCUUUGUACUCCCAUACUGCAGAUAAACAUUUAAACAACCAUCUGAAAAUUAAAUUCA